UUACCCAUUCUUCACCCGUUUUCAGUAUUAAUCAGCUCACGGGCAUAACCCGUUUAAAUGAACAUAACCGGAACAUAACCGGAUUUUAAUCAUCAAUGUAAUCUUUGCAUAUCUUUGCAUAUAUGGCAGGUAAUCCGAAUUCUCCUUCCUCUCGCGCAAUCGGCGCCGAUUCAGACCAUGGGAUUGUUUUACUACCCGGCUGUAAUUGUGGUUAGUCUUUAUGUCUAUGGAAUUUUGAUUUGAUUUCAUAAUACCUGCCUGCUGUGAUUUCUGACCACUCUUCGUUGAGAUUUGAGAUAAAGACUAACCACUCUUCGUUGCCGUCAUCGCGCGCAAUCAGUGCACAGCUCAUGGGAUGGAUUUAUUAUCUUCGCACCUUCCGGUGAAUAACUCGCAAAGUAGAGGUUGCAGAUUAAAUAAAGAGAAUCAAAUGACCAGAAUACUGUUCGGUGUCACGGGAAAACGCGAAUAUGCGCCCGGCACUGCUUUGCUUUGGAUGCCUUUCUUCUCCGACGCGCCGAAAACAUAAAAAAAAUCCAGGACCAAUCCUACCCCUCCUGCCAUUGUUAGUAGUACUUCGGAAUUUUGUGGUUCCAUUGGGUCUCCACUGUCCAAUAUUGAUCAGAAUACAUCCUUUGAUGUUCAGCUGAAAUCUAAAGCCAAAGUCAUCGGUAGAUCUCCGCUCGCUGCCUACCACCAGGAUUUGUCAGGAGCCUUCAAUGCUGCUUCCAGUGAUGCUGUAAAAGGUCUUAAUUUUAUGUAUUCAGGUCUGGACAUUAUUGUUGGGAUACCAUGGACAUGAUUCAACUUAUGCACAAAGGGAGUAUAUGAUGGCAGUCAAGAAAAUAGAGUACGAGGCUAUUAAGUUGCAGUGGCAGGUAUCUAGCUAAAUAUGAGGGUGCUUGGGCAUUUACUAAUGCACUGGUAUUUUAACACAUGGUACUCAUGGUUGUACAAUUGUUUUUUGAACAAGAGAGAGAGCCAAGAAAAGCCAAUUAUCAUGAUCAGACUCUAGGUUUCAGAUUUAUCAAAAUUCAAACAAUUUUACUGUUAAAAGCCAUGGAAGAUUGUUCAGGUUCAUUCAUUCUCCAUUUGGAUGAA